GACGAACGCUGGCGGCGCGCCUAACACAUGCAAGUCGAACGAGCGAGAGAGAGCUUGCUUUCUCGAGCGAGUGGCGAACGGGUGAGUAACGCGUGAGGAACCUGCCUCAAAGAGGGGGACAACAGUUGGAAACGACUGCUAAUACCGCAUAAGCCCACGGUGCCGCAUGGCACAGAGGGAAAAGGAGCAAUCCGCUUUGAGAUGGCCUCGCGUCCGAUUAGCUAGCUGGUGAGGUAAUGGCCCACCAAGGCGACGAUCGGUAGCCGGACUGAGAGGUUGAACGGCCACAUUGGGACUGAGACACGGCCCAGACUCCUACGGGAGGCAGCAGUGGGGAAUAUUGCACAAUGGGGGAAACCCUGAUGCAGCGACGCCGCGUGGAGGAAGAAGGUCUUCGGAUUGUAAACUCCUGUUGUUGGGGAAGAUAAUGACGGUACCCAACAAGGAAGUGACGGCUAACUACGUG
rnacentral:rRNA from 1 species